UCCCUGUGUUUGUGUGUGUAAUGAUGG
rnacentral:piRNA from 1 species